rnacentral:rRNA from 1 species
UACGAGGGAUGCAAGCGUUAUCCGGAAUUAUUGGGCGUAAAGCGUCCGCAGGUGGCUCUGUAAGUCUGUCGUUAAAGAAUGGGGCUCAACCCCAUACAGGCGAUGGAAACUACAAGGCUAGAGUUUGGUAGGGGUCACGGGAAUUCCUAGUGUAGCGGUGGAAUUCGUAGAUAUUAGGAAGAACACCAGUGGCGAAGGCGGCUCACUGGUCCGGUACUGACGCUGAGGUGCGAAAGCGUGGGGAGCAAACAGG